GGGAGGAAGAAAUGAAUACUCAACCCAUACCUUGCAGCUAUGUCAAUUAUGCUGCGAGGAAGGGAGAUAAUCAGAGAAGCAGUACUCAGAGUGAAGAAGCUCCAGUCAAUGAUCCCAGCAACCUGGCCUCUGAAGAAAAAGUUCAGUAUGCCAGAAUUGUAAAGCACCAUGGAACUGAAUCAACAGAGAGGCACAGCCAUCAACACGCAUAGGAUGAGGAGGAUGCAAAACAACAUUCUGCAAGCGGAGCAGCAAGGCUUGGCAUGUUGCCCCCUCCUAGCGCCCACAAAUCUUUGAAGAGUGAUGCAUGGAUGAUGAUGGCAGACAACAAUGGCAGCACGCAUGUCUCGGCACAUUUCUUUUCCGCAACCUGUGGCAUGUG